rnacentral:rRNA from 1 species
GAUCAUGGCUCAGGAUGAACGCUAGCGACAGGCUUAACACAUGCAAGUCGAGGGGCAGCGAGGGAGUGGCAACACUUCUGUCGGCGACCGGCGCACGGGUGAGUAACGCGUAUGCAACCUGCCCUUCACAGGGGGAUAACCGGGAGAAAUUCCGACUAAUACCGCAUACGUCCUCCGGGGGCGAUCCCCGGGGGAGUGAAAGAAUUAUCGGUGAGGGAUGGGCAUGCGUGAUAUUAGGUAGUUGGCGGGG